AGGCGAUUCCUGGUGGCCUGGGAAUAGCCUCUAUUUAUCUUCACUCUGCCAGCUGUGGUUUCAGGGUUCAAGGGACCUGGGGGGUUUCAGACCCUGAUGGGGAACCAGGCACAGGUCCUGUCCCUCCACGUCCUGAUGCUUAAUACAUACCCACAACAGUCCCACAUAACCAAGCAUCAGAAACACCAAAGGGAUCUGCUGCCAUCUUAUGAACCUAUUUCACUGCCGUGUUGAAAGCCUUCCCAACCACCAGCUUCUUCCUUGGUAGCAGAAGACACAGCAGGAGGAGAAGACAUUUCCGUCCAAAAGCCAAAUGCAGCAAAACACCCUGAAAAGAGAAGGAAAGCUUAAAUGUGAAGCCCUUUUCACCAACUGGCUUACAGCACACACAACAGAAAAGGCUUUGUUUACAACCAAAUAUGCUCAAAGAACAACUCUUUGGUUAUUUCCCCCUGCAACUGGGGCCCAGCACAGUACAAAAUGCAACUCAAUGAUUCUGAGCACAGACACACAAACAAACGUGGCUCGCUGCCCCCUCUGCAAAUUCCAUGGGCUCAAGACCAUGGCGGUGAUGUGGGUUUGUCCACAUUCAAACAGUGGCGCAUUCUCACCAGCACAUGAAGAAAGCUAUGAACAAAUGACCAAGCAGAAACUCAAAUUUAAAGACUACAUAUCCAAGCCUACUUCUAACCCAAUGUGCAAUGAAGAGAGAAAUAAAUAAAAUCUUCAAAUCCCUCAUUCAAA